rnacentral:rRNA from 1 species
AGCGUAAUAGCUCACUGGUCGAGUCGGCCUGCGCGGAAGAUGUAACGGGGCUAAACCAUGCACCGAAGCUGCGGCAGCGACACUAUGUGUUGUUGGGUAGGGGAGCGUUCUGUAAGCCUGCGAAGGUGACCUGUGAGGGUUGCUGGAGGUAUCAGAAGUGCGAAUGCUGACAUAAGUAACGAUAAAGCGGGUGAAAAGCCCGCUCGCCGGAAGACCAAGGGUUCCUGUCCAACGUUAAUCGGGGCAGGGUGAGUCGACCCCUAAGGCG